rnacentral:rRNA from 1 species
UACGAAGGGGGCUAGCGUUGCUCGGAAUCACUGGGCGUAAAGGGUGCGUAGGCGGGUCUUUAAGUCAGGGGUGAAAUCCUGGAGCUCAACUCCAGAACUGCCUUUGAUACUGAGGAUCUUGAGUUCGGGAGAGGUGAGUGGAACUGCGAGUGUAGAGGUGAAAUUCGUAGAUAUUCGCAAGAACACCAGUGGCGAAGGCGGCUCACUGGCCCGAUACUGACGCUGAGACACGAAAGCGUGGGUAGCAAACAGG